rnacentral:tRNA from 1 species
UGGGCUAUAGCUUAAUUAAAGCAUUCCGCUUACAUUGGAAAGAUCAUUUUUAUUAUAGUGUGGCUUAA